UACGUAGGGGGCAAGCGUUGUCCGGAAUCAUUGGGCGUAAAGCGCGUGUAGGCGGUCCGGUAAGUCCGCUGUGAAAGUCGGGGGCUUAACCCUCGGAUGCCGGUGGAUACUGUCGGGCUUGAGUCCGGAAGAGGCGAGUGGAAUUCCUGGUGUAGCGGUGAAAUGCGCAGAUAUCGGGAGGAACACCCGUAGCGAAGGCGGCACUCUGGGCCGGUACUGACGCUGAGGAGCGAAAGCGUGGGGAGCAA
rnacentral:rRNA from 1 species